ensembl:snoRNA
AUCCUUUUACGGUUCAUGGGCAUGGUGUCCGGGUGUUCACGCACAUGUGUGAGACAUGCCACCCUCUGAACCUUGUUACAAUCCCAGCACGUUACCCGUCUAAUC